ACGCGGCGAUUUGGUUGAGGGGCAUCCCUUGGCCAGGAAAUGAAUUUCGCCCGAGGGCUCACGUGAUAUUAGCUAGUUGGUAGGGUGACGGCCUACCAGGAGAUGUCUAGCGGGUGUGAGAGCACGACCCGCGCCACUGGCACGAGCUGGCCAGACACCUACGGGUGGCUGCAGUCGAGGAUCUUUGGCAUGGCAAGCUUGACCAAGCGACGCCGCGUGUGCGAUGAAGGCCUUCGGUAAAGCACUGUCGAGGGGGACGAAGCCGCAAGGUUGACCGAUCCUGGAAGCACGGGCUAAGUUCGUGCCAGCAGCCGCGGUAAGACGAACGUGGUUGUUCGGAAUCACUGGG
rnacentral:rRNA from 1 species